rnacentral:rRNA from 1 species
CCUACGGGAGGCAGCAGUGAGGAAUAUUGGUCAAUGGACGAGAGUCUGAACCAGCCAAGUAGCGUGAAGGAUGACUGCCCUAUGGGUUGUAAACUUCUUUUAUAUGGGAAUAAAAUGUUCCACGUGUGGGAUUUUGUAUGUACCAUAUGAAUAAGGAUCGGCUAACUCCGUGCCAGCAGCCGCGGUAAUACGGAGGAUCCGAGCGUUAUCCGGAUUUAUUGGGUUUAAAGGGAGCGUAGGUGGAUUGUUAAGUCGGUUGUGAAAGUUUGGGGCUCAACCGUGAAAUUGCAGUUGAAACUGGCAGGCUUGAGUACAGGAGAGGUAGGCGGAAUUCGUGGUGUAGCGGUGAAAUGCUUAGAUAUCACGAAGAACUCCGAUUGCGAAGGCAGCUCACUGGACUGCAACUGACGCUGAGGCUCGAAAGUGUGGGUAUCAAACAGGAUUAGAUACCCGAGUAGUC